rnacentral:lncRNA from 1 species
UGAUUUUUGGGUUUAGUCCCUGCAUGAAACUUUGAUAGCAUUUAGUCCCCGUAGUAUGGAAAUAGGUACGCUUAGUCCCUAAUUUUGGACGGCAUUAAGUUUUUGGUAACGGCAGAGCCACGUGUUUUUCACAUCCAUUGACUAUUGCUUGCCACGUGUUCUUUAGCUUUUGAAAGUAGAUUGCCAGCCCAGGCACCCUAGCCCAAGGCUGUUUCUUGACCUAGAAACCAAAAGGGGGUCGAAUUUCCUCCCCUCAUUCAACACUCCAACAGCUCCGAGAAUCCAAGUAUCUCUCUCGCUAGGGCUGGGGUCGCCUCCCUUGAACACCGUCAGCCACCUCCUUCCUCCGACAGCCACUGCGACCACUGUGACGGUCUCAUUGCAUCGCAGCUAUCGACACCGCUUGUCGCCAGAGCCACCGCAGGCUGAGGCGAAAACUCCCAUGCUCUGCCGCGUCGACAUUCGAGUUCGAUCUGAGAUGUCGNCGGUGACGCAGGUCGCCACCGUAGCCUUAGCGCGUGUCGUGUCGGAGGAAGCCGCGUGCACCAUCGCUCACCACCGGGAUCUCGCUCCUUCACGUCCCCGUCUUCGUCGCUUCCUCGCUGCCUUCUUCUCUUCUACGAAUUUGAGACCCUAAUCGCCGCUCACACUACCACCGGGCUUACAAUAAAAAAUAAUCAUUAACAACUGUCGAAAUUAUUUUUUCGGUUUCCUCUUUCAAUCUUGGUUUUCUGAUUGGGUGCCGGCAAUGGAGAUAAUGAAGUUUGGAGUUUUCUUGUUCUCUAUUUUUCUUAUCACUAUUUUUCUUACACUCCAAAUUGUUCAUCUUUUAGUGUUGGGUGUUGGAUGGUAAGUCAGAGUUGGUGAUGGUGAUAGGAUAUGGCAGAGGAUAAGAUGGAUUGUUCCAAAGGACAAGCUUUGAACAUAUUGUCAUGGGAUCUGUGAUUUGGUCUGUUGGCUUCGUUUGAUGCAGGUGAAAAAUAGUNNUGAGAUUAAAAGAGGGCGGAUUGGUCUCAUUGAAGCGGGUGAAGGACGAACAGGGCACGGUAUCUGCUGGUUUCUUUGUCUGGCGUUUUCUGUGUAGUGUUGGUUGAAGAGAUGCACUUGNUUAGAGAAGGGUAUAAAAUCGUAGAACACCGUGGUNAUGCCAGUCGGAACAGAAAAAUGGUGAUGAGUUUAAAUGUUUGACUCGGCUAGCUUAUCGGUAAACAUUUGGGCAAAGUAUUUGAAGGUCAUUGAAGGAAUGAAAACAAGCAACCAUUGUAGCAGGUCAUUGAUUCAUACUCAAGCAAAAGCUAAAGAACACGUGGCAAGCAAUGGUCAAUGUGAAAAACACGUGGCUCUGCCGUUACCAAAAACUUAACGUCGUCCAAAAUUAGGGACUAAGCGUACCUAUUUCUAUACUACGGGGACUAAAUGCUAUCAAAGUUUCAUACAGGGACUAAACCCAAAAAUCAGUGAAACUUCAGGGACUAAAAGCAUAUUUAACUCUUAUUAUUAUUAUUAUUUAUUAUUAUUAUUAUUAUCAAGAUU